AUUGAACGCUGGCGGCAGGCCUAACACAUGCAAGUCGAGCGCGCGGCGGACGGGAGAGUAAUGUAUGGGGACUGCCCGAUAGAGGGGGAUAACUACUGGAAACGGUGGCUCAUACCGCAUACGGUCGGAUAACCCAUAUGGGAUUAGCUAGUAGGGAAGGUGAUGGCUUACCUAGGCGACGCUCCCUAGCUGGUCUGAGAGGAUGAUCAGCCACACUGGGACUGAGACACGGCCCAGACUCCUACGGAGGCAGCAGUGGGGAAUAUUGCACAAUGGGCGCAAGCCUGAUGCAGCCAUGCCGCGUGUAUGAAGAAGGCCCUAGGGUUGUAAAGUACUUUCAGUCGGGAGGCGUUACCGACAGAAGAAGCACCGGCUAACUCCGUGCCAGCCGCCGCGGUAAUAC
rnacentral:rRNA from 1 species